AGUGAACGCUGGCGGUAGGCCUAACACAUGCAAGUCGAACGGCAGCACAGUAAGAGCUUGCUCUUACGGGUGGCGAGUGGCGGACGGGUGAGGAAUACAUCGGAAUCUACUUUUUCGUGGGGGAUAACGUAGGGAAACUUACGCUAAUACCGCAUACGACCUACGGGUGAAAGCAGGGGAUCUUCGGACCUUGCGCGAUUGAAUGAGCCGAUGUCGGAUUAGCUAGUUGGCGGGGUAAAGGCCCACCAAGGCGACGAUCCGUAGCUGGUCUGAGAGGAUGAUCAGCCACACUGGAACUGAGACACGGUCCAGACUCCUACGGGGGGCAGCAGUGGGGAAUAUUGGACAAUGGGCGCAAGCCUGAUCCAGCCAUACCGCGUGGGUGAAGAAGGCCUUCGGGUUGUAAAGCCCUUUUGUUGGGAAAGAAAAGCAGCAGGUUAAUACCCCGCUGUUCUGACGGUACCCAAAGAAUAAGCACCGGCGAACUUCGU
rnacentral:rRNA from 1 species